AGUGAUCGAAAGAUGAAAAGCACUUUGGAAAGAGAGUCAAAAGUACGUGAAAUUGUUGAAAGGGAAGCGCUUGCAACCAGACCUGUCCGUAGGUGAUCAGCCGCUGUUUUCAGCGGUGCACUCCUCUGCGAUCAGGCCAGCAUCGGUUUCGGCGGCCGGAUAAAGGCCCUGGGAAUGUAGCUCCUUCGGGGAGUCUUAUAGCCCUCGGUGCAAUGCGGCCAGCCGGGACCGAGGACCGCGCUUCGGCUAGGAUGCUGGCGUAAUGGUUGUAAGCGACCCGUCUUGAAACACGGACCAAGGAGUCUAACAUCUAUGCGAGUGUUUGGGUGUUAAACCCAUGCGCGGAAUGAAAGUGAACGGAGGUGAGAACCCUUUAGGGCGCAUCAUCGACCGAUCCAGAUGUCUUCGGAUGGAUUUGAGUAUGAGCAUAGCUGUUGGGACCCGAAAGAUGGUGAACUAUCUUGAAUAGGGUGAAGCCAGAGGAAACUCUGGUGGAGGCUCGCAGCGGUUCUGACGUGCAAAUCGAUCGUCAAAUUUGGUAUAGGGGCGAAAGACUAAUCGAACCAUAGUAGCUGG
rnacentral:rRNA from 1 species